rnacentral:rRNA from 1 species
GGAAUAUUAGAAAUGGACGAAAGUCUGAUCUAGCAACACCGCGUGUGCGAUGAAGGCCUUCGGGUUGUAAAGCACUUUUUGGAAGGAUUAGGAAGGAAUGUACUUCCAGAAUAAGUCUCGGCUAACUACGUGCCAGCAGCCGCGGUAACACGUAGGAGGCGAACGUUAUCCGGAUUUACUGGGCGUAAAGCGCGUGUAGGUGGUUCUGUAAGUAGGGCGUGAAAGCUCCUGGCUCAACUGGGAGAGGCCGUUCUAAACUGCAGAGCUAGAGGAUGGUAGAGGGAGGUGGAAUUCCGGGUGUAGCGGUGGAAUGCGCAGAUAUCCGGAGGAACACCAGUGGCGAAGGCGGCCUCCUGGACCAUUCCUGACACUCAGACGCGAAAGCUAGGGUAGCAAACGG